CCUCGUUAACUUAUAAGAUACCUUUUCUUGUUUGCUAAGACCAUUCCGUUGGUGUUGAAUCGUUUCUUAUAAUGUCACUAAUUUUUAACUUUCUACUUUCUCACGUCUUCUUGACCAUUCCAGUAGUAUCAACUUCAAUUCUUCGUACACAUUUACUCCAAUUUGGUAGUUGGUUUCUCAUCACUGCGUCGACCCUUGUAUAAACUUCUUCGAUCUGGCUGUCCUAGAUUAUGUUCUAUGGAUAUGGACACAUAACCUGUCUUCGCAUAUACACUUCCUUCUACGAUGAGUAAUUGUUCACAAGGUUACCACUAUCUGCAGUAUUCGACAAGCAGUGUUGUUCCAUAUACUACCGUACUACGUUGUCUCUUGAAAUCGUUCUUGUGGUCUGUUUCGAUUGUGUUAGUUGUAACUUGUUUGAGUGUAUUGUUCGUGGAAUCCCUUUUACUUUAAUCUUGACGUUUCGUGUGUUGAUUCUGACAAUAGUGCCUGGUUUG